rnacentral:lncRNA from 13 species
ACUAUCCAUCCUUAGAGCACAGCUCUACUGUAAUGACUAUCCAUCCCUAGAGCACGGCUCUACUGUAAUGACUAUCCAUCCUUAGAGCACGGCUCCACUGUAAUGACUAUCCAUCCUUAGAGCACGGCUCUACUGUAAUGACUAUCCAUCCUUAGAGCACGGCUCUAAUGUAAUGACUAUCCAUCCUUAGAGCACGGCUCUACUGUAAUGACUAUCCAUCCUUAGAGCACGGUAAUAGUAUUAUUCUAGAUUGUUGGUAAUAGUAUUAUUCUAGACUGUUGGUAAUAGCACUUUUCUAGACUAUUGGUAAUAGUAUUAUUCAAGACUAUUGGUAAUAGCAUUAUUCUAGACUAUUGGUAAUAGCAU